rnacentral:misc_RNA from 1 species
UCUCCGUUGGUGAACCAGCGGAGGGAUCAUUACCGAGUUUACAACUCCCAAACCCCUGUGAACAUACCUAUCGUUGCCUCGGCGGUGCCCGCUCCGGCGGCCCGCCAGAGGACCCCCAAACUCUUGUUUUAUACAGUAUCUUCUGAGUAACACGAUUAAAUAAAUCAAAACUUUCAACAACGGAUCUCUUGGUUCUGGCAUCGAUGGAGAACGCAGC